UGGACAGCUUCAUUCAAUAAGAAACUCCAUGCAUGCAUGAUAUGGAUAUUAUUGUUUUCUUUUGUUUUUAGUGAGUCGAGGGAUUAGCACCGCACACUCUAGUUGCUCUCUCUUGUACAUAAAGGCUUCUACAGCCAGAGACAGAAGGCAGGAUUUGUUUUGUUGUAAGUUUAGCCAUUGCUACUUCCUUGUAGACGCAUGUGUCGACUAGACCAUCCGUUCUACUUGAUUCAAAACCCCAUAUUGUUAUUGUGAUUCAUAUCAGAUCCUUCUUGUAUUAUUUGGCAAUUGAGUGCCUGUUCUAUCUGUUCUUGCAUGUUCUUCGAUUGCGUGCAGGAAUUACCCUAGUGGUUUGGUUGGUCGUGAUCAACAAGAUCGUGAUCAACCGCUAGAAUUGGUGUAUCGAUCGCUAAGGCACAGCGUCCUUGGACGGUUGUAGUCGGAUCGUGAAUGUCGCUCUAGAGAGAUCGAAGUUAUCCAUCUCCACCGAAAGAUCGGUACACCCUCGUUCUUAUUAGGUCAAGCGCGAGGAAGGAGAAGGUUUAUAGCGCUCGGUUGACGCAUUAGGCAAGGAAUAUCCCGCGGAUUUUGGGAUUGAGUCGGUCGGGGGGGGAAGGAAAUCCUUCUCGGUCACGCGCGAGGAAGGAGAAGGUUAUGCCGCUCGGCGGCCCCGCACGUCAGCGACCAGGAGGAGGGGCCCGGCUGCCAGAGACCAAGAGAAAGAGAAGGGGGGGAGGGGGGCGCGUGGCUGCUCGGCUUGGGCCGCAGCUUGCUGGGCUGCGGGGGAGGGGCAGCAGGCCAGAGAGGGGGGGCUGGGCCGCGCCCGGCCGAGGGGAGAGGGGGAGAGGGGUUUGGCUGGGUGGUUUUCCUUUUUUCCUUUUUUUUAAUCUCUUUUCUAUAACUUUUUGAGAAGAGUUUUUAAAUCCUUUUGUAGACAAAACAAAACACACAGGAGAAUAAAUAAAUCUCAGCAUGAAUGCACAACCAUGUUUCUAAAUUUAUGGUGAAUUUUAAUUUCAACAAAAAUUAUUUAUUUACUAUAUUAAAUGCUCACAAAAAUACUUAAAUAAAGCCAAUUAAACCCUAUUAAUUGAAAUUCAAAUUUUGGGUGUUACAAACUCUAUCCCCCUUAAAA
rnacentral:lncRNA from 1 species